GCUCUCGAGCAAGCCUUCGCGAUGCAAGAGAAUUGGCGUGAUUUUACGUGACAAAAACACUCUAUCAAAGCUACAGUGAUUUAUUAUAUAUUUGUUAUCCACAAACCAAUCGUUCUAAUAAUCCUACGGCUACUACAGAGUUCGUACGUGUUAAAAUAUCUCGCGAGUGAGUGUGUGCGGUGCAAACGUUUUUAUGUUCAAGGUUAUACGUGCUACCGAAGCGUAAACAAAAACGUUCUUCUCAUCGUCGAAAGUUUUUCUCACGAGAAAAAUUGAAUUGCCACUUGUUUACAGAAAUGUAGUUCGCGAGUGUGGAAUAAGCAUCGGGCAAAAGAGUACAAAUUUUCAUUAGCAACAACUUCAUUCUACUGCGUGAACAAAAACGAGUCGCAACUUGGUAUAUUCAUAACAACUCUUCACGAUUAUCACUGCAGUUAUCCUUCUCCGCGUAAUAAUACCCGCUUCGUAAUGAAUUAUUAUAAUCUUGAACUAUUCAAUUAUUUCUCUCGUUUUUCACCGUUUUUUGAGCUCGUCAGUGGCAGUCCCGUGUGGGAUAAUACGAAAACUGAAAAUUCGCCUCAUGCUUGCGACCACACGCAGCAGUGCUCGAGUGUAAUUAAGGCGAGGAGGAAGAGAAUCUCGUCGCAGUUUCUCGUGAGAUAAAGCGGUGGAGAGAAACGAUGAGAAAGAGCGAGGGAGAGACGAGACGAAAAGGUGGCUUUUUCAGUCGGAGGUCGCCUCGCCUCGUGACCCAGUUCGCUCAUCGAGAACCACUUUUGGUAUAACCUGAAGGGGGUUCGCGAGUGGAACGUGUCAUUCUGCAGGCUAAAUCGUAUCUCGGCGUGCACACACGUGUUCUUUUAGCAUGAAACUUUGAACAGAAGAAUCGACAAUCAAUUUUAUCCCAACAAAUAACAACGAAAGAGGAAAAGUCCAUUACGAUAAAAGCGAUUCCUAGCCUCCCCCCUCCACGCCGUAAUAUUCGAUCGAACAUCAUUUUCUGCUUGGUUUACCAUUGAUCGUAACCCAAUAAAUUGGAAAUUCUUCGGAAUUUUCUACAACACAUUUUCCAUAUUCGACGGGCAUCUUCGAUCGCGUUGAUCUUUGUCAUUCUGUGGGUCAAAACCAACAUUGCAAGAUGAAAUUCCUGAUCGUUUGCGCCUUCGCCAUCGUAUCAAUCAGUGUGAACGGGGCACCCCAGGCCGGACCGAUUCUCGGGCUUCCGAUCGAGUCGUAUUCCGAGAGCUGUCGACCACGAGCGUGUCCAAAAACCGGGGAAACCAAACUCGGCUUUCCUCUGGACUGUCUUUCGUACGUUGAAUGCGUGAACGGGGUUGCUACAACGAGAGCUUGUCCUGCGGACAUGUUCUGGAACGAGGAUGCUGGAAAUUGUACGGAUCGUAAAACGACCAAGUGCAAUCAAUGCUGGUAGACGAGACGAGCUCACUGCGCAUUACUGGCUUCAAAAACCACUGAUCCUUCCCGACUAUGAUCCUUUUUUAUUUUUACUACGUUACAAAUUUUAAUCACUGUUUAUCGAUAUUCCAGUGAUGACCCAGCAAAAUUAUUGAACAUUUUACAAUUGAAAUUCAAAAAACUUUUUAUUUGUAUUACAACACAUCGAGCUGUAAAAUUUAAAAUGCCAUUAUUAUUCAUGUAGAAUAAUUGUUUAUUUGGAAUUUUUUUUCUCAAUUUCAUCGUUCCUGCUUAUACCAUUCCGGGUUUUUAUUAAUCCAUCCGGCCAAUUUAAUAUUUAAUAUUUCAAUUUUUAUAAAUUAAUUUUAUCCCUCAAAUAUGCGAGUGGGCAGCUAAUUUUUUGUGUAGCUAGUUUUUGUGUGUUGUGUUCAAUAUUUUGAUGUGAACUACAAAAUGUAAUUUUUUCGAGGCAUGGGUAAGGUGACCUUUCUCGUAAGAACGCCAACCGCACACCCAUCGCUGUCAUAUAUAUAAUUUUGAGCAUAAAGUAAUGAUGGCGCUAUGAAAAGUGACAACGAUUGAAUCGAAAUACUAUUGGCAGGAAGUGACGCGAUAGAAAACUCCGAAGACGCUUAUAAAUCUAAUUUACCUGUAACUAUAAUGCGCUACGGUCAGAUGAAAAAAGAUACUCCAAACUCUCUCUUCCUUGAAAGUGUAACCUUCGAUUCGCGAGCAGUGUCGGUCACUUGAAAGCAACGUGGCUUCAUCACGUGACUCGUGCAAGUAUAGAAAAUAUUCUCGAUCAAAGCCUACGAUCGCGGGAAACGAGUAGAGAAAGAAAGGAGUCAAGAGUCGAGUCGAGUCGUACCGAAAAGGAAUAUUUCCUCAAAUAAAAGGAAAAGGACGAAGGUUGAGUCGAGGUUCGGUGUACAGAGAGAAAAUCGGUCGAUGAAUUUUAUAGAGUGGGUCAAGUGAUAUCGAUCCUUUGAGAUAUACACGUGUAUGGAAGUACGUGUGUGAAUCCAUUUACCGAUAUGGAUGUGUGCACAUGGAAUCCUUAUGCAAAUGUUGAUGCUUUUGCCCACAUAGGAGUUGGAAUAAAUUAAUCGAUAAAAUUAGAAUAUUGAUUGAAUUGAAAGGCCAUCGUGAGUCUGAGGUCGAUUUUACUUGAAUAUGUAUUUGAAAUAAAAAUAAUUGUAUUUUUA
rnacentral:misc_RNA from 1 species